rnacentral:tRNA from 1 species
GCUCCCUUAGUGUAGCCCGGUCAAUCACUCGGCCCUUUCGAGGCCGAAACCCGAGUUCAAAUCUCGGAGGGAGCG